AACGAACGCUGGCGGCAGGCUUAACACAUGCAAGUCGAGCGCCCCGCAAGGGGAGCGGCAGACGGGUGAGUAACGCGUGGGAAUCUACCCAUCUCUACGGAAUAACGCAUGGAAACGUGUGCUAAUACCGUAUACGUCCUUCGGGAGAAAGAUCUAUCGGAGAUGGAUGAGCCCGCGUUGGAUUAGCUAGUUGGUGGGGUAAAGGCCUACCAAGGCGACGAUCCAUAGCUGGGCUGAGAGGAUGAUCAGCCACACUGGGACUGAGACACGGCCCAGACUCCUACGGGAGGCAGCAGUGGGGAAUAUUGGACAAUGGGCGCAAGCCUGAUCCAGCCAUGCCGCGUGAGUGAUGAAGGCCCUAGGGUUGUAAAGCUCUUUCACCGGUGAAGAUAAUGACGGUAACCGGAGAAGAAGCCCCGGCUAACUUCGUGCCAGCCGCCGCCGUAAAAC
rnacentral:rRNA from 1 species